CAGGUGGGACAGGUGGGACAGGUGAGAGGGGAGAGGUGAGACAGGUGAGACAGGUGGGACAGGUGAGACAGAUGAGGGACAGGUGGGACGGUUGGGACAGGUGGGACAGGUGAGAGACAGGUGAGAAUGGACAGGUGAGACAGGUGAGAUAGAUGGGACAGGUGAGAGGGGACAGGUGAGACAGGUGAGGGACAGGUGAGAGAGGUGAGACAGGUGAGGGACAGGUGAGACAGGUGGGACAGGUGAGACAGGUGGGACAGGACAGGUGAGACGUGGACAGGUGGGACAGGUGAGGCACAUAAGGCUGGGUUGGUCAGACAGGUGGGACAGGUGGGACAGGUAAGAGGGGACAGGUGAGUGGGGACAGGUGGGACAGGUAAGGCACAAAUGACAGAGGUAAGGGACAGGUGAGACAGGUGACGGAGGGGACAGGUGAGCCCCAGGUGAGCCCCUCCCCCUGCCCAGGUGUGCCCAGGUACCCUCCCAGGUAUAUCCCAGCCAUGCCCAGGUGUGCCCUGGGGUAACCCAACUGUCCCCAGGUGUCCCCAGGUGUGCCCAGGUGUGCCCAGGUAACCUCCCAGCCAUGCCCAGGUGUGCCCUGGGGUAACCCAACUGUCCCCAAGUGUCCCCAGGAGUGCCCAGGUGUGCCCAGGUAUCCCCAGGUGUGCCCAGGUAACCUCCCAGCCAUGCCCAGCCGUGCCCAGGUGUGCCCAGGUGUAUCCCAGGUGUAUCCCCAGGUAUCCCAGGUGCCCCCAGGUGUGCCCAGCCAUGCCCAGAUGUACCCCCAGGUGUACCCCCAGGUGUGCCCAGGUGUGCCCAGGUGCACCCCCAGCUGUGCCCCCGUUACCUGUCCGUACCCGGGGGCGUGGCAGUGCGCGGCCGUCAGGACCCACCUGGGUGUGCCCAGCCGUGCCCAGGUGUACCCCCAGCCAUGCCCAGGUGUAUCCCAGGUGUAUCCCCAGGUAUCCCAGGUGUGCCCAGGUGUACCCCCAGGUGUAUCCCCAGGUAUCCCAGGUGUGCCCAGGUAACCCCCAGCCAUGCCCAGGUGUACCUCCAGGUGUAUCCCCAGGUGUGCCCAGGUGUGCCCAGGUGUACCCCCAGCCAUGCCCAGGUGUACCCCCAGGUGUAUCCCCAGGUAUCCCAGGUGUGCCCAGGUGCCCCCCCAGCUGUGCCCCCGUUACCUGUCCGUACCCGGGGGCGUGGCAGUGCGCGGCCGUCAGGACCCACCUGGGCGCCACCAGAGUCCCCCCGCAGACGAAGCGACGGCCGCGGAACAG
rnacentral:lncRNA from 1 species